rnacentral:rRNA from 1 species
GUGUCAGCCGCCGCGGUAAUACGUAGGUGGCAAGCGUUGUCCGGAAUUAUUGGGCGUAAAGCGCGCGCAGGCGGUUUCUUAAGUCUGAUGUGAAAGCCCCCGGCUCAACCGGGGAGGGUCAUUGGAAACUGGGAAACUUGAGUGCAGAAGAGGAAAGUGGAAUUCCAAGUGUAGCGGUGAAAUGCGUAGAGAUUUGGAGGAACACCAGUGGCGAAGGCGACUUUCUGGUCUGUAACUGACGCUGAGGCGCGAAAGCGUGGGGAGCAAACAGGAUUAGAAACCCGCGUAGUCC